CGAACGAAGCACCUGAGAAUGAUUCUUCGGAUGAAGUCUCUUGUGACUGAGUGGCGGACGGGUGAGUAACGCGUGGGUAACCUGCCUCACACAGGGGGAUAACAGUUGGAAACGACCGCUAAUACCGCAUAACCCGCUGGUGCCGCAUGGCACUGACGGAAAAGAUUUUAUCGGUGUGAGAUGGACCCGCGUCUGAUUAGCCAGUUGGCAGGGUAACGGCCUACCAAAGCGACGAUCAGUAGCCGGCCUGAGAGGGUGAACGGCCACAUUGGGACUGAGACACGGCCCAGACUCCUGCGGGAGGCAGCAGUGGGGAAUAUUGCACAAUGGGGGAAACCCUGAUGCAGCGACGCCGCGUGAGUGAAGAAGUAUUUCGGUAUGUAAAGCUCUAUCAGCAGGGAAGAAAAUGACGGUACCUGACUAAGAAGCCCCGGCUAACUACGUGCCAGCAGCCGCGGUAAUACGUAGGGGGCAAGCGUUAUCCGGAUUUACUGGGUGUAAAGGGAGCGUAGACGGUGAUGCAAGUCAGAAGUGAAAGCCCGGGGCUCAACUCCGGGACUGCUUUUGAAACUGUGUGACUGGAGUGCAGGAGAGGUAAGCGGAAUUCCUGGUGUAGCGGUGAA
rnacentral:rRNA from 1 species